GAUGAACGCUGGCGGCGUGCUCAACCCAUGCAAGUCGAACGGAAAGGCCCAAGCUUGCUUGGGUACUCGAGUGGCGAACGGGUGAGUAACACGUGGGUGAUCUGCCCUGCACUUCGGGAUAAGCCUGGGAAACUGGGUCUAAUACCGGAUAGGACCACAUUUUGGAUGGUGUGGUGGAAAGUUUUUCGGUGUGGGAUCAGCUCGCGGCCUAUCAGCUUGUUGGUGGGGUAAUGGCCUACCAACGCGUCGACGGGUAGCCGGCCUUCGAGGGUGUACGGCCAGGUGGGGGCUGAAAGACGGCCAAGAGUCAGACGUGAGGUAUGAGGGGUGAAGAGUGCACGACUGGCAGCAGCGUGGUGAAGCGAGGCCGCGCGAGGGAGGAGGGCGUUAGGGUUGUAAACUCCGAUCGCUAGGGACAAAGCGUUUUUGUGACGUUACCUCGAGAAGAAGCACCUGCGAACUACGUG
rnacentral:rRNA from 1 species